AAGCGUUAAUCGGAAUUACUGGGCGUAAAGCGUGCGUAGACGGUUAUUUAAGUCGGGGGUGAAAUCCUGGAGCUCAACUCCAGAACUGCCUUUGAUACUGGGAAGCUUGAGUCCGGGAGAGGUGAGUGGAACUCCGAGUGUAGAGGUGAAAUUCGUAGAUAUUCGGAAGAACACCAGUGGCGAAGGCGGCUCACUGGCCCGGUACUGACGCUGAGGUGCGAAAGCGUGGGGAGCAAACAGG
rnacentral:rRNA from 1 species